rnacentral:lncRNA from 1 species
CACAGCAAGAUGCUGUCUUAAAAAACAGAACCAAAAACAAACAAACCCUGCUGAUUGACAGAUUGGCCAAUUAUCAAAACUUCAUUACUAAUAGCUACUGUUUUUUGUUUUUUGUUGUUGUUGUUUUAUAGCUACUGUGCUGGGAUUACAGGUGUGAGCCACUGUGCCUGGCAAUAGCUACUGUUGAUUGAGCAUUUGAGCCUGUUCUCGUGACUUUAUAUGCAUUAACUCUGCAAAUCAACCCCAGGAUAUGGGCACUGUUAUCACCCAUGCCCAUCUUUCAGAUGAGCAAACGGAGGCACACAAAGCCCCUGUGAUUUGCCCCAAAUUUCACAGGUCCUCAGGGAGCCCCAUGUUGUCAAAUCCAGGAGAGACAGUCCCAUCAUUAUUUCAAACCACCAUUCAGUACUGCUGACCCAGUGGGCCACUCCAGCCUUCUCACCACCCCUCCUCCCUUGAUCCUGUCAACACCACCUGCCUACCUCCCUGGCCACACACCUUCCUGGUCUCCGCCUUUUUCUCCUCCCUUUGGCGUGCUCCACCACUUGCUGGGCUGUCUCCUCCCCUCCCAAGGUGUCAACUGCCACCCUUGAAGCAGGGAUCUCCACUUGUUCCUGCCUCUCCUUUAUACUGGCCUGCACACCCACUAACUCCCAACUGGCCCUCAGGAGGCCCACUCUCAACAUGGCGAGAAGAGACUGCCCUCGCCCAGCUGUCCCCAGGAGGGCUGGCCAGGUGGCUGCCACCUGCAUACUGAGGUCGGUGCCCAGCUUCCAUUGGCUCACCAUGAGCCCCAUGUAAAGCUAGUUUACGCUCAUGAUUUCAGCUCUAUUCUGUCUGCAUAUAACGUGGAAAUCUCUUGAGCCCUAAUCACUCUCUCAAACCUCAAUCACAAACCUUAAAAUACCUCCCUCCUGGAAAUUUUGACUUCAAUGCCUACGAAUAAACUCGUCAAAUGAG